rnacentral:rRNA from 1 species
UUCCGGUUGAUCCUGCCGGACCUGACUGCUAUCGGAUUGAUACUAAGCCAUGCUAGUCUUUGUAGUAAUACAAGGCAUACGGCUCAGUAACGCGUAGUCAACCUACCCUAUGGACGGGGAUAAUCUCGGGAAACUGAGCAUAAUACCCGGCAGACCACUUAUCCUGGAAUGGUUAGUGGUUAAAAUGAUUCGUCGCCAUAGGAUGGGACUGCGGCCUAUCAGCUUGUUGGUGAGGUAAUGGCCCACCAAGGCGAUUACAGGUACGGGCUCUGAGAGGAGAAGCCCGGAGAUGGGUACUGAGACAAGGACCCAGGCCCUAUGGGGCGCAGCAGGCGAGAAAACUUUGCAAUGUGCGAAAGCACGACAAGGUUAAUCCGAGUGAUUUCUGCUAAAGAAAUCUUUUGCAAGUCAUAAAACCACUAGUGAAUAAGGGGUGGGCAAGUUCUGGUGUCAGCCGCCGCGGUAAAACCAGCACCUCAAGUGGUCAGGAGGAUUAUUGGGCCUAAAGCAUCCGUAGCCGGCUCUGUAAGUUUUCGGUUAAAUCCAUGUGCUCAACGCAUGGGCUGCCGAAAAUACUGCAUAGCUAGGGAGUGGGAGAGGUAGACGGUACUCGGUAGGAAGGGGUAAAAUCCUUUGAUCUAUCGAUGACCACCUGUGGCGAAGGCGGUCUACCAGAACACGUUCGACGGUGAGGGAUGAAAGCUGGGGGAGCAAACCGGAUUAGAUACCCGGGUAGUCCCAGCUGUAAACGAUGCAGACUCGAUGAUGCAUUGGCAUAUAGCCAGUGCAGUGUCGCAGGGAAGCCGUUAAGUCUGCCGCCUGGGAAGUACGUACGCAAGUAUGAAACUUAAAGGAAUUGGCGGGGGAGCACCACAAGGGGUGAAGCCUGCGGUUCAAUUGGAUUCAACGCCGGG